UCUCCCGGCCCCAGAUGCUGACCAUCAAGGAUCCAGGCGUGAGCAGGGUGAUGCUGUCUGUGCCCCUCUUCCAGCUUCUGGUGCCCCAGCCACCCCUGGUGUCCUUGGCUUGUCGACAGACCCCGCGAGCCUCUCUCUCCAGCGUUUCAUGGGGUCUUCCCACCCCCGCCUCCCUGCGGGUGCCAUGCUCUCAGCUGCCAGGACCCCACAGAGGCAGCCGAGACAGGAUAGUGGAGCGUCUUGUCCCAAACCACUUGGCCCUGUGGUGGUGAAGCUGGGAUUCGGAUCCGAGCUCAUGAAAGCCUAUACUGGACUACCUUCACGCAGCAUCUUCCACAGCAUCCUGGCAGAUUUCUCUUGGCCCAUCCAGUUCCUUCUCUUCACCCCAACCUUCGGCUCACAGGAAGAGCAGCCCAGGUUUAGGAACAGAGACAAAUACCUAAUGGUCCACUUCCAUGUCAAUGUUCCCACCUGUUGCUUUUGACCACUAGGUGGAAAUACGCCUAUUUCUUUGCCUCCAAAAGAUCUUGGGCUUUUUAACAAACACAUUUUUGAACUCAUCUCCCCUCUUUGGGCCCCCCAAGUCCAAACGCCUGUAGAGCCAGAACCACAUUACUGGUGAGUCAAAACACACAGAACUGGGCCCACGGACUACCCUGUUCAUCACUUUAUUUAAAGUGAAAAAAAAUCCCACAGUGAUUCCAGAUGGUGGUCGAAUCAACAAUCUACUUCUAUACAAUAGACCCUCUCGGCUUGGAAACUA